rnacentral:ncRNA from 1 species
GAACAACCGAUGAUGGAGAGAAGUAGGUAAGACCCACAUGGCCAGAGAGGAAACGCCUUAGGCUGGAAGCGUUUCUCCAUGAUGGCUUAGCGAAAGACACUCCGUAGGUUUCCCUUUGAACGCGCGUGGCGUCAGUAAAAGGGAACGCGCGCCUGGCGUUAGCGGCGACAAGCGGAAGCUGAAUGGCUUCAAUUAGGGUGGCACCGCGGGAAUGACGCUCUCGUCCCUAUC